rnacentral:rRNA from 1 species
UGGAUCCAGACUUUGAUCCUGGCUCAGGACGAACGCUGGCGGCGUGCUUAACACAUGCAAGUCGAACGAGAAGAGAUAAGAAGCUUGCUUCUUAUCGAUUCGAGUGGCAAACGGGUGAGUAACGCGUAAGCAACCUGCCCUCUAGAUGGGGACAACAGCUGGAAACGGCUGCUAAUACCGAAUACGUUCUUUCUGUCGCAUGGCAGAAGGAAGAAAGGGAGGCUCUUCGGAGCUUUCGCUGGAGGAGGGGCUUGCGUCUGAUUAGCUAGUUGGAGGGGUAACGGCCCACCAAGGCGACGAUCAGUAGCCGGUCUGAGAGGAUGAACGGCCACAUUGGGACUGAGGCACGGCCCAGACUCCUACGGGAGGCAGCAGUGGGGAAUCUUCCGCAAUGGACGAAAGUCUGACGGAGCAACGCCGCGUGAACGAUGACGGCCUUCGGGUUGUAAAGUUCUGUUAUACGGGACGAAAGGUACGACGGCCAAUACCCGUCGUAAGUGACGGUACCGUAAGAGAAAGCCACGGCUAACUACGUGCCAGCAGCCGCGGUAAUACGUAGGUGGCAAGCGUUGUCCGGAAUUAUUGGGCGUAAAGGGCGCGCAGGCGGCGUCGUAAGUCGGUCUUAAAAGUGCGGGGCUUAACCCCGUGAGGGGACCGAAACUGCGAUGCUAGAGUAUCGGAGAGGAAAGCGGAAUUCCUAGUGUAGCGGUGAAAUGCGUAGAUAUUAGGAGGAACACCAGUGGCGAAAGCGGCUUUCUGGACGACAACUGACGCUGAGGCGCGAAAGCCAGGGGAGCAAACGGGAUUAGAUACCCCGGUAGUCCUGGCCGUAAACGAUGGAUACUAGGUGUAGGAGGUAUCGACCCCUUCUGUGCCGGAGUUAACGCAAUAAGUAUCCCGCCUGGGGAGUACGGCCGCAAGGCUGCAACUCAAAGGAAUUGACGGA